rnacentral:lncRNA from 1 species
ACUCGUAGGCAGCAUCUGAGCAACAGGCUCACCAGACUUCAGCCUCUUCACUCCGACUCUUCCACGCUCCAGCUCUCUUCAUUAAGAUAUUCUAGAAGCAACUGAGGAGUUUCUACAAACAUUUUGGAAAUUACAGGUCAAGUGGAAGUUUGUUUUCAUUUCAGUUAAGGUACGAGUUGUUCUGACUGCUGUGCAGACAUUCACACGCCCGCUGCUAGAAAGCUGGAGCUGGAAGGAGCAUUGGGGCCCGCUGAGUCCUCCUUUCUCAUGUAUGGAUGCGGAUGUGGAGGCAGGCCCUAAGUCUUAGUGUAGGUGCCGAUGGUGCAGGUUGACUCACUUAAAGAAGAAUUUGAAUCAUUAUCUAACAGAAAAAGAUCAAUAACAAGCAUUAUUGCUGGAACAUUCUAUGGAUAGACUGCUUUCUAUACAUGAUUGGUGAAUAUUGUAUUUCAAUUAAUUAUAUAUCCUGAUAAUAUAUGAAUUAAUACUGUGAUAUCCUGCAUACAAUAACAAUAAUCAAUGGAAAUAUAGUAAAACAGAAAUGAAAAUAA